CGCGGGAUGGAGCAGUUGGCAGCUCGUCGGGCUCAUAACCCGAAGGUCGUAGGUUCAAAUCCUACUCCCGCAA
rnacentral:tRNA from 1 species